AUAAAGUAAGCUUGCAAGUUGUAAAUGAUCCACAGUUUGUAAUAAAACUAUUUUAAAGAUAAAAUGUAACACCAAACCUAACUGGCCCAAAUAAUUUUUGACUUUAAACCACUAGGUCUAAAAUGAUCAACCCAAAUUAUUUUAGUAGUCGGGACCUAUGAUAUAUAACCCCUUCCUCUCCUAAAAAUGUGGGACACUACAAUGUCAGCCACUUAAAUUUGCAAUGUCAAGUGACGUACUUGUUGCAAGAUGUGGGACGUUAU
rnacentral:misc_RNA from 1 species